rnacentral:rRNA from 1 species
CUGGUUGAUCCUGCCAGUAGUCAUACGCUUGUCUCAAGGAUUAAGCCAUGCAUGUCUAAGUAUAAAGGAUUUAUAAUGAAACUGCAAAUGGCUCAUUCAAACAGUUAUAGUUUAUUUGAUAUUCAAGCUAAUAUUCUUAUUAGUUAAAUGGAUAACCGUAGUAAUUCUAGAGCUAAUACAUGCGUUACGGGGAACUUUACGGGACCCCAGCGUUUAUUAGAUUUAAACCAAUAUUCCGCAAGGUCUACUGAGAUGAUUCAUGAUAACUGAUCGAAUUGCUGGAACUCUAGCAAUAAAUCAUGUAGGUUUCUGCUUCCCAUCAGCUUGAUGGUAGUGUAUUGGACAACCAUGGCAUUCACGGGCUAUCGGGGGAUUAGGGUUCGAUUCCGGAGAGGGAGCCUGAUAAACGGCUACCACUUCUACGGAAGGCAGCAGGCGCGAAAAUUAUCCAAUCCUGAUUCAGGGAGGUAGUGAAAGAAAUAAUGAACUAGGAUUUAUCCUGGGAUCACAAUGGGCUUGAUUUGCAAACACUUAGCGAGGAACAAUUGGAGGGCAAGUCUGGU